rnacentral:rRNA from 1 species
CAGAACGAACGCUGGCGGCGCGUUUAAGCAUGCAAGUCGAGCGGCAAGGGCCUUCGGGCCCCUAGAGCGGCGGACGGGUGAGUAACACGUGGACAAUCUGCCCCCCGGCCCGGGAUAGCCCAGGGAAACCUGGAUUAAUACCGGAUGAGACGGGACCCGCGAUGGCGGGAUCCGGGAAAGGCGCUGCGGCGCCGCCGGGGGAUGAGUCUGCGUCCCAUUAGCUAGACGGCGGGGUAACGGCCCACCGUGGCGACGAUGGGUAGCCGGCCUGAGAGGGUGGACGGCCACAUUGGAACUGAGACACGGUCCAGACUCCUACGGGAGGCAGCAGCUAAGAAUCUUCCGCAAUGGGCGAAAGCCUGACGGGAAGCGACGCCGCGUGAACGAAGAAGGCCGUGAGGUUGUAAAGUUCUUUUCGGGAGGGGAACAACCGUGGCAGGGAAUGGCCGCGGGAUGACGUGAAUCCCGGAAUAAGCCCCGGCUAACUACGUGCCAGCCGCCGC